AUUGAACGCUGGCGGCAUGCCUUACACAUGCAAGUCGAACGGCAGCGCGGGAGCAAUCCUGGCGGCGAGUGGCGAACGGGUGAGUAAUACAUCGGAACGUGCCCAAUCGUGGGGGAUAACGCAGCGAAAGCUGUGCUAAUACCGCAUAAGAUCUACGGAUGAAAGCAGGGGAUCGCAAGACCUUGCGCGAAUGGAGCGGCCGAUGGCAGAUUAGGUAGUUGGUGAGGUAAAGGCUCACCAAGCCUUCGAUCUGUAGCUGGUCUGAGAGGACGACCAGCCACACUGGGACUGAGACACGGCCCAGACUCCUACGGAGGCAGCAGUGGGGAAUUUUGGACAAUGGGCGCAAGCCUGAUCCAGCCAUGCCGCGUGCAGGAUGAAGGCC
rnacentral:rRNA from 1 species